rnacentral:rRNA from 1 species
GACGAACGCUGGCGGCGUGCCUAACACAUGCAAGUCGAGCGAGUUAAUCUCCUUCGGGAACGGAUUUAGCGGCGGACGGGUGAGUAACACGUGGGCAGCCUGCCUCAUAGAGGGGAAUAGCCUUCCGAAAGGGAGAUUAAUACCGCAUAAGAUUGUAGUACCGCAUGGUACAGCAAUUAAAGGAGCAAUCCGCUAUGAGAUGGGCCCGCGGCGCAUUAGCUAGUUGGUGAGGUAACGGCUCACCAAGGCGACGAUGCGUAGCCGACCUGAGAGGGUGAUCGGCCACAUUGGGACUGAGACACGGCCCAGACUCCUACGGGAGGCAGCAGUGGGGAAUAUUGCACAAUGGGGGAAACCCUGAUGCAGCAACGCCGCGUGAGUGAUGACGGCCUUCGGGUUGUAAAGCUCUGUCUUCAGGGACGAUAAUGACGGUACCUGAGGAGGAAGCCACGGCUAACUACGUGCCAGCCGCCGCCGUAA